ACGCUGCUUCCAACCCCGAUCUACCCUACUCACGCUGCUUCCAACCCCGAUCUUCUCUCCGCGUGGAGCUGGUGGCAGACGUACAACCGAGGGGACGAAGCAACGGCAUCGUGCCACCGCCACCUCCAAUGCAUAGCAGCCACGCCACCAACGGCACAAGAUUCGCAUGGGGAGGCCAGCCGUCGAGCAAGAGACAUCGAGGACCGGCUAGAUUAGAGGUGAGGUGGAUUCUGCGUGCGAGGCCCUCUACCCUUUCUCAUGUUCUGCGUGAUCUCGGGCGGGAGGCGGUGUAUCCAUCCUGAUUUGGCCUUCUUCCUCCCCGAUUUUGCGUUCUUUCCGGCCUACGCUCAUCUCCGGCCGGUCAUCAUUCCAUUCCCGUGACUCGUGCACUAAUGGGAGACCCCGGCCUCGCCUCUUCUGAACGUCCCAGUUCUUCUCCAUGAAGACCAUGCCCUUCAUGGUCCGGCGGGGCGGUCACUGUUGUCAACGUCUCCGUGCCCUUCCCGCACGAGGAAAAUAGCAGAUGGCGUCGUCGCCAACUCUAGCAUGUCGGAGAUGACGUGGCCACCAGAUGACGAGCUCCGCCAUGGUUUAUGGCGAGGAGAGGAGAAGUGGUCGUUCGGGUUCUGUGAGAAUGCACGUGCAGGUUCACUCGGAAAUUCCGGAUUUCGAUCUUCAUAUUUACAUCCGAGAGGAAAGGAAGUGUUGCACAGUCAUAUUUUAUUCCAGUGUUAAUAUUCCAUAAUUGUAUGAUGAAUUGAACCUGAACAUCGGAAGUGGCAAUUGCAAUACACUAAUUUCCAGUUUUGAUUGAUACUUUAUGAAAGAAUAUGUUGGCGGACAUGGCAAUGCAGUUUCAUGUCGACAUCCACUCGAACUGAAGUAUCCGCGGAAGUGAGAACAUAGUAACUGUCUGGACCUCUCGAUGUAGUUAGUGGCAUCAGUUAUAUAAUUACGUUUCAUAUAUCAACUAAUUAAAUGUUGCACUAUUCAUCUAAAAAAAGUAGCACUACUGAUCUACUGUAUGUAAGUAUUGCAGAUUCAUGUACAAUGUUGUCUGAUAAAUUGGUGGCAAAUAGCUGUGUGAGCUUCAUUUGGUGAUCUAUUUUUUUAUAUCCUUCUUUCAUCUGGUAUAACUACAUGGGACUGUAAUUGUUUACUGCAUUUUGCAUCACAUACUUUAUUACUGUACAUAUUACUUGUAUUUUUGUUUUUCCUUAUUGCUUCUAUGCUACUGAUUUCGCCACAGCAAAUUUUAUUUUGUUCUCUGGUGCAAAACAUCACACAAUGUCAUGUUAGAAGGACCCUUGAUUUCAUCAUACCCAGAUGGUUUAGUUUCUAAUGAUGGUUGGGGAAGUAGCCUCUGACCAAGCUAUACUAUGAUGACGAGUAGAGUCAAGAUUUUUGUUGUUGCAAGGAUCACAAAGAAAGAAAUCAGUAUUCAAUAGACAGUAGAUUGAUCUUUUGUAACAUCUUUCUUAUAAAUCAGUUUGGUUCACAAUCAGUUGCUCUAUCCAGGUUCUUUGGAAUGCAUGAUGAGACAUGGAUUCCUAAGGAUUGUUCAAGUGCAUUCAAUGUUAAGGGAUGGAACACGGAAUAGCCUUGGCCACAAUGAGCAGUCCCAAACUUCACACAAGUAUGUUCUCUUGUCCACAGAAGGAGUACAAUAUGGAGUACAAUAUGGGUGACUGCAGGCUGAGGAGAACACACAUGCACGGCCAGCUGCAUGGACCGAUGGAACCAAUUAAUAACAGGAGAAAGGGCGGAAAAUAGGAGGGAGAUGAUGAUAUUGACAAUGGGCAGUAGUCUGCAAUUGUGUCACGCUGUGUUGGUCGGAUUAGGCCCACCUAAUCAAUUGUUUUGGGGCACCACUAGAAAAUUAAUGAAUGCAUGCUGUACAAUUUUCGCUGAUCUUCUCUGAUUUUCUAACAGAUGUGAAAUGUUGCCCAACUAUUAUUUGAGAUGUAAAUUAAUAUUCAGUCGUAGAAAUUGAUAU